GAUGGACUAUGGCUCAGUAGGAGAGCAUCUGCUUUGUGUGCAGAACCUGCCAGUCUCAAUUUUCAGUGGCAUCU